rnacentral:rRNA from 1 species
GAUGAACGCUGGCGGCGUGCCUAAUACAUGCAAGUCGAGCGAACGGACGAGAAGCUUGCUUCUCUGUUGUUAGCGGCGGACGUGUGUGUAACAUGUGUAUAACCUACCUAUCAGACUGAGAUAACCUCGGGAAACCGGAGCAAAUACCGGAUAAUAUUUUGAACCGCAUUGUUCAUAAGUGAAAGACGGUCUUGCUGUCACUUAUAGAUGGAUCCGCGCUGCAUUAGCUAGUUGGUAAGGUAACGGCUUACCAAGGCAACGAUGCGUAGCCGACGGGAGUGGGUGAUCGGCCACACUGGAACUGGGACGCGGACCAGGCUCCUACGGGAGGCAGCAGUAGGGAAUCGUACGCAAUGGGCGAAAGCCUGACAGAGCAACGGCGCGUGAGUGAUGAAGGUCUUGGGAUCGUGAAACUCUGUUAUUAGGGAAAAACAGAUGUGUAAGUAACUGUGGCCAUCUUGACGGUAACUAAUCAAAAAGCCACGGCUAACUACGUG